GACGAACGCUGGCGGCGUGCCUAAUACAUGCAAGUAGAACGCUGAAGGAGGAGCUUGCUCUUCUGGAUGAGUUGCGAACGGGUGAGUAACGCGUAGGUAACCUGCCUGGUAGCGGGGGAUAACUACUGGAAACGAUAGCUAAUACCGCAUAACAGUAGAUGUUGCAUGACAUUUACUUAAAAGGUGCAAUUGCAUCACUACCAGAUGGACCUGCGUUGUAUUAGCUAGUUGGUGGGGUAACGGCUCACCAAGGCGACGAUACAUAGCCGACCUGAGAGGGUGAUCGGCCACACUGGGACUGAGACACGGCCCAGACUCCUACGGGAGGCAGCAGUAGGGAAUCUUCGGCAAUGGACGGAAGUCUGACCGAGCAACGCCGCGUGAGUGAAGAAGGUUUUCGGAUCGUAAAGCUCUGUUGUAAGAGAAGAACGAGUGUGAGAGUGGAAAGUUCACACUGUGACGGUAUCUUACCAGAAAGGGACGGCUAACUACGUG
rnacentral:rRNA from 1 species